AUUGAACGCUGGCGGCAUGCCUUACACAUGCAAGUCGAACGCGAAAGGGGGGCAACCCCUGAGUAGAGUGGCGAACGGGUGAGUAAUGCAUCGGAACGUAUCCAGUAAUGGGGGAUAACCCAUCGAAAGAUGGGCUAAUACCGCAUACGCCCCGAGGGGGAAAGUGGGGGACUCGCAAGAGCCUCACGUUAUCGGAGCGGCCGAUGCCGGAUUAGCUAGUUGGCGGGGUAAGAGCCCACCAAGGCGACGAUCCGUAGCUGGUCUGAGAGGAUGAUCAGCCACACUGGGACUGAGACACGGCCCAGACUCCUACGGGAGGCAGCAGUGGGGAAUUUUGGACAAUGGGGGCGACCCUGAUCCAGCCAUGCCGCGUGAGUGAAGAAGGCCUUCGGGUUGUAAAGCUCUUUCGGCCGGAACGAAAUCGCAUCUCUUAAUACGGGGUGUGGAUGACGGUACCGGAAGAAGAAGCACCGGCUAACUACGUGC
rnacentral:rRNA from 1 species